UAGAGGCCAGCAACCACGGUAGGGUCAGCGACUGGGGUGAAGUCGUAACAAGGUAGCCGUAGGGGAACCUGUGGCUGGAUCACCUCCUUUCUAAGGAUGAUCAAGAAUUGGAAACCUUUGAAAAAAGAACAUUCCUUUUUGAUCUCAUUAGACACAAAGGUUUAAAACAAGUCAGUUUAAACCUUAUGCAUAUGACACGAACACUUCGUGCGACCCUCUCUCAGACGAGAGCCCUCUUUGUUCAAAAGAGUUCCCGCUCUCUUGAGGCUCCUACCUCAUUGAGAAAGGUGUUCCGUAAGAGAUUAGUGCUCAUGUGUUAAGUUAUACAGGCAGACUAGCCGUCUUCGUUCUCUUUCUUCAGAUGAUGAUCCCAAGCCUUCUGGCGAUCUCUUAUAAAGAAAGCCCUCCAUAAUAGAUUGAAAAGGGUCCUUUGGGGAAAAGUUUUCCCUUUGAUAAGAUGAAGCCGGGGAAGGUUUUCCGGUUUAUCCCGGAGGGCUUGUAGCUCAGUUGGUUAGAGCGCGCGCUUGAUAAGCGUGAGGUCGGAGGUUCAAGUCCUCCCAGGCCCACCAAUCAUUCUAUCAAUCUAUAAGCGCUUGUGGAAAUUGCUCAUAGAAAACUUUCUUUAUUCAUUUAUGAAAAAUCUCCUUAUAGAGAUAGAGAGAGACGCUUUUCCCUUUGGGUUUGAAAACUCAAGAUUACAGGUGUUAAAGUGGCUUUAAAGGAAAAGUGACAAAGAAUAAGGAAUAACGAUUUAAGUUAUCCCUUUUUGGUGAUCUUGAUUUGGGUGUUUUGAAUGCGUUAUGUUUUUUAGGGGGGCCGUAGCUCAGCUGGGAGAGCACCUGCUUUGCAAGCAGGGGGUCGUCGGUUCGAUCCCGUCCGGCUCCACCAUUUGGUCAUCAUCAUUGUUGUGAGAACACGCUUUUGUGAGAGGUUCGUAAACCUUUUGCUUGUUCUAUUGAAAUUGUGAAGAGAAGAUAUAUUCAGACAUGUUCCUUUUGAAGUGUUUGUUCUAGAGAGCAAAAUUUGUUCUAAGAAAAAUCAUUUGAAGAAGAAACAUUGUGUCGCAAGGGAAUGCUCAAAGCCCUUGCUUAUGAUUGGAAGCUUAACCGCGCCAUUGAAUAUAUCUCGAGAAGCUGGUCUUUUCUGCUGAUAUUGCUGUUUGUUUUGCGCUUUGUUUUGCACAAGGCAAAGAGAUGUAGACAAAUAGCUCCAUAGCCAAAUAACAAAAGAUUUAUGCUUUAUGCAUGAAGAAUUUUUAUUGGUGGAAUUGAAUGAAUAUUGGCAAUGAGAACGAUCAAGUGUCUUAAGGGCAUUUGGUGGAU
rnacentral:misc_RNA from 1 species